rnacentral:rRNA from 4 species
GAGUUUGAUCUUGGCUCAGAUUGAACGCUGGCGGCAUGCCUUACACAUGCAAGUCGAACGGCAGCACGGGAGCUUGCUCCUGGUGGCGAGUGGCGAACGGGUGAGUAAUGCAUCGGAACGUAUCCUGGAGUGGGGGGAUAACGUAGCGAAAGUUACGCUAAUACCGCAUAUUCUGUGAGCAGGAAAGCGGGGGACCUUCGGGCCUCGCGCUCUUGGAGCGGCCGAUGUCGGAUUAGCUAGUUGGUGAGGUAAAGGCUCACCAAGGCGACGAUCCGUAGCAGGUCUGAGAGGAUGAUCUGCCACACUGGAACUGAGACACGGUCCAGACUCCUACGGGAGGCAGCAGUGGGGAAUUUUGGACAAUGGGGGCAACCCUGAUCCAGCCAUGCCGCGUGAGUGAAGAAGGCC